GGCACAGUUAUUGUAUUCUACACAGAAAGACAGUGGACACACACAAAAUAACUUCACAGUACCUGUUUGUUUCUGAGCCUGGAUGCAUGCACUGAGCAUCAAAGUUAGGAAAACUAUGUGCAAAGUUCUGUGAGCCAUUAUCCACUGGUAAAGGAAAAACAUUUUCUGUAUGAGAAGACAGUGAGGAGACGCCUCUCCCCUGCUUGCCUCCCUACUCCUCAAUGAAUGCAGCUGUGAGGCAGACACUCAGAAAACUCUAACCAAGUCUUCAGGCUAAAGUUAGACAGUUACGGUACACUCCUCCUUCCUUGCCCAUACUAUACUGAGGCACACAAAAAAAGUUUGCAUUCAUAUGAGGGGAAACCGAACACUUGUACCAUGAUUCUUAUCUGUUAGGAAAUGCUUGGAU